rnacentral:ncRNA from 1 species
UGGAACAAUGUAGGCAAGGGAAGUCAGCAAAAUGGAUCCGUAACUUCGGGAAAAGGAUUGGCUCUGGCUUGGGGGUCCUAGUUCCGAACCCGUCGACUGUUGGUGGGCUGCUUGAGCUGCUAACGUGGCGAGAGCGGACCACCUCGUGUCGGCUGGGGGACGGACUGGGAACAACUCUUUCGGGAUCUUUCCCCGAGCGUCGGACACCCAACUCAGAACUGGUACGGACAAGGGAAAUCAGAAUGUUUAAUUAUUACAAAGCAUUGCGAUGGUCCCUGCGGAUGCUAACGCAAUGUGAUUUCUGCCUAGUGCUCUGAAUGUCAAAGUGAAGAAAUUCAACCAAGCACGGGUAAACGGC